CUACGGGAGGCUGCAGUGGGGAAUAUUGCACAAUGGGCGCAAGCCUGAUGCAGCCAUGCCGCGUGUGUGAAGAAGGCCUUCGGGUUGUAAAGCACUUUCAGCGGGGAGGAAGGCGUUAAGGUUAAUAACCUUGUCGAUUGACGUUACCCGCAGAAGAAGCACCGGCUAACUCCGUGCCAGCAGCCGCGGUAAUACGGAGGGUGCAAGCGUUAAUCGGAAUUACUGGGCGUAAAGCGCACGCAGGCGGUCUGUCAAGUCGGAUGUGAAAUCCCCGGGCUCAACCUGGGAACUGCAUUCGAAACUGGCAGGCUAGAGUCUUGUAGAGGGGGGUAGAAUUCCAGGUGUAGCGGUGAACUGCGUAGAGAUCUGGAGGAAUACCGGUGGCGAAGGCGGCCCCCUGGACAAAGACUGACGCUCAGGUGCAAAAGCGUGGGGAGCAAACAGGAUUAGAUACCCCUGUAGUC
rnacentral:rRNA from 1 species